rnacentral:rRNA from 1 species
AAGCAUAUCAAUAAGCGGGAGGAAAAGAAAACUAACAAGGAUUCCCCUAGUAACUGCGAGUGAAGCGGGAAAAGCUCAAAUUUAAAAUCUGGCGGUCUUCUGGCCGUCCGAGUUGUAGUCUGGAGAAGCGUUUUCCGCGUUGGACCGUGUACAAGUUUCCUGGAACGGAGCGUCAUAGAGGGUGAGAAUCCCGUCUUUGACACGGACCCCAAUGCUUUGUGAUGCGCUCUCAAAGAGUCGAGUUGUUUGGGAAUGCAGCUCAAAAUGGGUGGUGAAUUCCAUCUAAAGCUAAAUAUUGGCGAGAGACCGAUAGCGAACAAGUACCGUGAGGGAAAGAUGAAAAGCACUUUGGAAAGAGAGUUAAACAGUACGUGAAAUUGUUGAAAGGGAAACGCUUGAAGUCAGUCGCGUCGGCCGGGACUCAGCCUUGCAUUCGCUUGGUGUACUUUCCGGUCGACGGGCCAGCAUCAGUUUUGACCGCGAGAUAAAGGCGGAGGGAAUGUGGCUCUCUCGGGAGUGUUAUAGCCCUUCGUCAGAUGUCGCGGUUGGGACUGAGGAACUCAGCACGCCUUUAUGGCCGGGGCUCGCCCACGUACGUGCUUAGGAUGCUGGCGUAAUGGCUUCAAACGACCCGUCUUGAAACACGGACCAAGGAGUCUAACAUGCCUGCGAGUGUUCGGGUGGAAAACCCGUGCGCGCAAUGAAAGUGAAAGUUGGGAUCCCUGUCGUGGGGUGCACCGACGCCCGGCCCAGACCUUUUGUGACGGAGCUGCGGUAGAGCAUGUAUGUUGGGACCCGAAAGAUGGUGAACUAUGCCUGAAUAGGGUGAAGCCAGAGGAAACUCUGGUGGAGGCUCGUAGCGAUUUCUGACGUGCAAAUCGAUCGUCAAAUUUGGGUAUAGGGGCGAAAGACUAAUCGAACCCAUCUAGUAGCUGGGUUCUGCGA